rnacentral:rRNA from 1 species
GACGAACGCUGGCGGCGUGCUUAACACAUGCAAGUCGAACGAAGUGGCGAACGGGUGAGUAACGCGUAAUCAACCUGCCCUUCCGAGGGGGACAACAGUUGGAAACGACUGCUAAUACCGCAUACUGAAGGCGGGGAUUGCGUCGGAUUAGAUAGUUGGAGGGGUAAUGGCCAACCAAGGCGAUGAUCAGUAGCAGGGCUGCGAGGUGGAACGGCCACAUUGGGACUUGGACCAGGCCCAGACUCCUACGGGAGGCAGCCGUGGGGAAGCUGCCGAAAGGGACGAAAGUCUGACGGAGCAACGCCGCGUGAGUGAUGACGGCCUGCGGGUUGUAAAGCUCUGUUAAUCGGGACGCGGUACCGGAAUAGAAAGCCACGGCUAACUACGUGCCAGCAGCCGCGGUAAUAC